rnacentral:lncRNA from 7 species
ACAUGCUCGCCAUGUGACUGAGAGCUCCGCAGCAUGGAGGUAUAUGUGGAAAUGGUCUUGGUACAGUUCAGUAAGUGUUAAAGGGUUAACUACAGGAAGCACACAGUGACAUGACUUCUAAAGCAGCAACUCCAACUCUGUGUAUUUCUGUAGCCCUUGAAGUGCCACCGCAUUUCAUCUCUGGGAUGGAGGAGGUUUCUCAGGCAGUGCCUAACCUGGACGUUGCCUGGUGUGCAUGCAGCUGCCAGCCCAGCUGGGAUGGGCACUGGAGCAGAAUGAGCAACCUCUCCAGAUGUCUCUCCUGGAGCAAAGCAGGAGCAGCUCCCUGCUGAAAGCUGUGGAAACCCACCCGUUCUGUGCUGAUGGCGAAGCUUCUGGCUUCUUUGAUGUUGGAGAAGGAAGGGUUAGUGGAUGUGGAUGUGCACAGAGCUAGUUUAAUUCCUUUUUAACUUGACCAACAAAACAAGAAAUAUCCAGAAAACAGCAAGACCCCGCCUGUGGGCUUGUUUCUCACAUUAGAUGCAUUCAAACCUGUGCUGCUGCUCUACAGCUUGAUUGUGUGAAGCGACAACUCAAACGCUGCUGCAAGUUGUUACCAUGCAAAUGCUUCCACAUGGGCAACCACGAGUGCCAUGCACGAGGUGUCCUUCGGGGCUCCCAAGUGAAGCCUUUGCCGACCACAGCUGAAGAACAAGGCAGCAUGAUCAACAGGAAAGUCAGAGUCUAUUUAUCUCUGGCACAGCCUGCCCAUUUCUAGUCUGGAUGGAAAAGAAGACUAAAGUCCACGGAGCUCUUCGGCAAACAACAACCAGCAUAACAACAAAUGCAGCAGAAGAGAAUGCCAAGGUUGUCAUCCCCCAUCAGCGGUUUGGAUGGAUUUCACCCUGGGAGAAGCUUUCGGGACGCUCGGGGCGGAAUCUUGCGCAGGAAACAGGUGGUUUGCUUUACUGAGAGGCAUGUGUAAUGGCCAGGGAGCUGCGCCGCGCCACGCCAAGCUACAGCAGAUGGGCUGCAGCUCGCUCCGCUCCGCUGAAGGAUAUUUUUCAUGUUAUGUGUGGAAAAGAGCAGUAACCCUUGUUUGUUAUAUGAGGCCUUGUAGGACUUUGUUUGGAAAGAAGCCAUUUGCAAGAUAAAAAAAAAAGCCAUUAAAAAUAUGAGUCACCAUAAU